AUUGAACGCUGGCGGCAGGCUUAACACAUGCAAGUCGAGCGGGGGAGGUUGCUUCGGUAACUGACCUAGCGGCGGACGGGUGAGUAAUGCUUAGGAAUCUGCCUAUUAGUGGGGGACAACAUUCCGAAAGGGAUGCUAAUACCGCAUACGCCCUACGGGGGAAAGCAGGGGAUCUUCGGACCUUGCGCUAAUAGAUGAGCCUAAGUCGGAUUAGCUAGUCGGUGGGGUAAAGGCCUACCAAGGCGACGAUCUGUAGCGGGUCUGAGAGGAUGAUCCGCCACACUGGGACUGAGACACGGCCCAGACUCCUACGGGAGGCAGCAGUGGGGAAUAUUGGACAAUGGGCGGAAGCCUGAUCCAGCCAUGCCGCGUGUGUGAAGAAGGCCUUUUGGUUGUAAAGCACUUUAAGCGAGGAGGAGGCUACCUGGAUUAAUACUCUAGGAUAGUGGACGUUACUCGCAGAAUAAGCACCGGCUAACUCUGUGCCAGCCGCCGCAGUAAGAC
rnacentral:rRNA from 1 species